AGAACGAACGCUGGCGGCAUGCCUAAUACAUGCAAGUCGAACGAAGGCUUCGGCCUUAGUGGCGCACGGGUGCGUAACGCGUGGGAAUCUGCCCCUUGGUUCGGAAUAACAGUUGGAAACGACUGCUAAUACCGGAUGAUGACGAAAGUCCAAAGAUUUAUCGCCAAGGGAUGAGCCCGCGUAGGAUUAGCUAGUUGGUGAGGUAAAGGCUCACCAAGGCGACGAUCCUUAGCUGGUCUGAGAGGAUGAUCAGCCACACUGGGACUGAGACACGGCCCAGACUCCUACGGGAGGCAGCAGUAGGGAAUAUGGACAAUGGGCGAAAGCCUGAUCCAGCAAUGCCGCGUGAGUGAUGAAGCCGUUAGGUUGUAAAGCUCUUUUACCCGAGAUGAUAACGACAGUAUCGGAGAAGUAACGCCCCGGACUAACUCCGUGCCAGCAGCCGC
rnacentral:rRNA from 1 species